AUUGAACGCUAGCGGGAUGCCUUACACAUGCAAGUCGAACGGAGUGGCGAACGGGUGAGUAAUGUAUCGGAACGUGCCCAGUAGCGGGGGAUAACUACGCGAAAGCGUCGCUAAUACCGCAUACUAUUGGACCGGCCGAUAUCGGCUUAGCUAGUUGGAGGGGUAACGGCGCACCAAGGCGACGAUCCGUAGCUGGUUUGAGAGGACGACCAGCCAAACUGGGACUGAGAAACGGCCAAGACGCAUACGGUAGGCAGCAGUGGGGAAUUUGGGAAAAUGGGGGAAACCCUGAUCGAGCCAUCCCGCGUAUGCGAUGAAGGCCUUCGGGUUGUAAAGCAAUUUUGGCAGGAAAGCGGUACCUGCAGAAUAAGCACAGGCUAACUACGUGCCAGCAGCCGCGGUAAUUC
rnacentral:rRNA from 1 species